rnacentral:rRNA from 1 species
CCCUUAGAUGUUCUGGGCCGCACGCGCGCUACACUGACGGAGCCAACGAGUAUUUUCCUUGUCCGGAAGGACUGGGUAAUCUUGUGAAACUUUGUCGUGCUGGGGAUAGAGCAUUGUAAUUAUUGCUCUUCAACGAGGAAUUCCUAGUAAGCGUGAGUCAUCAGCUCGCGUUGAUUACGUCCCUGCCCUUUGUACACACCGCCCGUCGCUACUACCGAUUGAAUGAUCCGAUGAAUACCAUGGAUUGAGAGUUCGAAUAGGUUCGCCUAUUUCAGCUUCUCGAGAAGUGGAGUAAAUCUUAUCAUUUAGAGGAAGGAGAAGUCGUAACA